CAACCAUCAAGCACUGCUUGGUAUUGGAUGCAACUUUGCAUAGUGCAUCAUAAAAGCAUUAGCAGCAGCAUUUAGCUUUUAGUGUAGUAAAUUUUCUCACUCUCGAGCUUAGAUGCCUGCUUGCCAGAACUAUCAUUUCAAA
rnacentral:misc_RNA from 1 species